rnacentral:rRNA from 1 species
GGACUACCAGGGUAUCUAAUCCUGUUUGCUCCCCACGCUUUCGCAUCUCAGCGUCAGUACCGGGCCAGUGAGCCGCCUUCGCCACUGGUGUUCUUCCGAAUAUCUACGAAUUUCACCUCUACACUCGGAAUUCCACUCACCUCUCCCGGACUCAAGAUCGCCAGUAUGAAAGGCAGUUCCAAGGUUGAGCCUUGGGCUUUCACCCCUCACUUAACGAUCCGCCUGCAUGCGCUUUACGCCCAGUGAUUCCGAACAACGCUAGCCCCCUUCGUAUUACCGCGGCUGCUGGCAC